rnacentral:lncRNA from 1 species
UGUAAUAAUCAAACACAUCGUUUUCUUUCCUUUUUCAAAGAAGAAGUACUUAUUAUUAUCAUUACCAAAUAAUAUUUCAGUACCCAUUAGUCAGGAGGACUAGGCAGAGAUUCCAAAAACAUUAAUGGAAAUACAGUAGAGUCUCACUUAUCCAAGCCUUGCUUAUCCAAGCUUCUGGAUUAUCCAAGCCAUUUUUAUAGUCAAUGUUUUCAAUAUAUCAUGAUAUUUUGGUGCUAAAUUCGUAAAUACAGUAAUUACAACAUAACAUUACUGCAUAUUGAACUACUUUUUCUGUCAAAUUUGUUGUAAGACAUGAUGUUUUGGUGCUUAAUUUGUAAAAUCAUAAUCUAAUUUGAUGUUUAAUAGGCUUUUCCUUAAUCCCUCCUUAUUAUCCAAGAUAUUCGCUUAUCCAAGCUUCUGCCGGCCCAUUUAGCUUGGAUUAGUGAGACUCUACUGUAAUUAAUUUAAGAUUAAUGGAAGGUAUUUAUUGUUAAAAGAGUUAAAAUACCAGCAACAUUAUCAGUAUGAUCUAGGGGAUGGUGGGACAGUAUUUGUCCACAAGAAGCCAGAGAAAAAAUCUGCCAGAAGGCAAAGGUCUUUUUAAUAUUUAGGCAGAGCCUUGACUCUUAAUUCAUGGAGCAGAAGAUGGUUUUAAUGUAAUACCAUGUUCUUUUAUCUUUUUUGAUAAUUUUUAAAUAUGUAUUAAAGCGUUUUAACUUUGUACUCUUUGUAGAAUUGUUUAUUUAAUUGAAUUCUCUUCACUUUAGUAUUAAAGAUUUUAGCUAUACUUUGUUUCAAUUUAUUGUCAGAUGCAUUGGGUCCUGUGAUGAGAGAAAGACAAGAUAUCAAUAAAAUAAACAAUAAAUAAAUUCACCUCCUAGGUAACUGUGAUCUCAAGGAGUGCCCCAAUCUUUGCCAUCAAAGAAAGAUCCACAUCCUCUUUCCAAUAUCAGAGCCACAAUGUCAAACAGAGAAGACUGGGGCACUGUGGGGCUGGUGUAGGGAUGAAAGUCUCAAUCUACAGAAGCUACAUCACCCAGC